rnacentral:lncRNA from 10 species
ACGUGCUACCCUAAAGAACCAUUUAUGGGCAGGGUUUUGCUAUGUUGCUCAAGCUGGUCUCGAACUCAACUCAAAGCAUUGGGAUUACAGGUAUGAGCCACUGUGCCCGGCCAAGUGAUGCUUUUAAAUAAGGGUGUAUAUAUUUGGAAGACAAGCUUUGUUGGGAAAGAUGAUACAUACUGAGCCAGAAGUGCUGUGAGACUCAGUAGAUAAGGAAUCCAACAGGCAGUCAGAUAUGCAGGAUUAAGGCUACAGGAAUGGUCAGGGCUAUAGAAAUAUUUCAGGAGUUAUCAAGAGGUAGAUUGUAGUUUAAUGAGAAAACAAUUAACAUUUACUGAGCAUCUGUUAAAUGGCAGACACUCUGGUGUUUGUGCAUGGG